GACAGAGGUGCCAAGCGUUAGGCGGAAUCACUGGGCUUAAAGCGUGUGUAGGUGGAUUUGUAAGUACCUUGUGAAAUCCCAUGGCUCAACCAUGGAAUUGCUCGGUAUACUGCGAAUCUUGAGCCACUUAGGGGCUACCGGAACAAAUGGUGGAGCGGUGAAAUGCGUAGAUAUCAUUUGGAACGCCAAUGGUGAAAACAGGUAGCUGGGAGUGUGCUGACACUGAGACACGAAAGCCAGGGGAGCGAACGGG
rnacentral:rRNA from 1 species